CCUACGUGUGGCAGCAGUGAGGAAUAUUGGUCAAUGGACGAGAGUCUGAACCAGCCAAGUAGCGUGCAGGAUGACGGCCCUACGGGUUGUAAACUGCUUUUAUACGGGAAUAACGCGCCUUACGUGUAGGGCUUUGCAUGUACCGUAUGAAUAAGGACCGGCUAAUUCCGUGCCAGCAGCCGCGGUAAUACGGAAGGUACGGGCGUUAUCCGGAUUUAUUGGGUUUAAAGGGAGCGUAGGCCGCAUGUCAAGCGUGCUGUGAAAUGUCCGGGCUCAACCCGGGCCUUGCAGCGCGAACUGGCGUGCUUGAGUCCGCGGAAGGCAGGCGGAAUGCGUCGUGUAGCGGUGAAAUGCUUAGAUAUGACGAAGAACCCCGAUUGCGAAGGCAGCUUGCUGCAGCGGAACUGACGCUGAUGCUCGAAAGCGCGGGUAUCGAACAGGAUUAGAUACCCCAGUAGUC
rnacentral:rRNA from 1 species